UUUUGAUACAUGGGUAUAAGAUUUUAUGAUCAAAUAAGGGUAAUUAGUAAAUCCAUAGCCUCAAACAUUUAUCACUUUUGUGUUGAGAGUAUUCCAAAUAUUCUCUUCUAGCUAGUUGAAUAUAUACAACAAGUUGCUCACUCUAGUCACACAAUAGUGCUAGAGAACAUUAUAGCUUAAUCCUCCUACCUGGCUUCAAUGUUGUAUCUGUUAGCCAACCUCUCACUCUCCCCCUCUUUCUCCUACCCCUUCCUGCUUCUGUCACCAUCCUACUCUCUACCUCUAUG
rnacentral:lncRNA from 1 species